CACGUAGGGGACGAGCGUUGUCCGGAUUCAUUGGGCGUAAAGCGCGCGUAGGCGGCUCGGAAAGUCGGUCGUGAAAUGCCGGGGCUCAACCCCGGGACUGCGUCCGAUACUCCCGAGCUGGAGGCAGGUAGGGGAGAUCGGAAUUCCUGGUGUAGCGGUGAAAUGCGUAGAUAUCGGAAGGAACAUCAGUGGCGAAGGCGACUUCCUGGACCAAUACUGACGCUCAGGUGCGAAAGCGUGGGGAGCAAACAGG
rnacentral:rRNA from 1 species